rnacentral:pre_miRNA from 1 species
AAAGAGGGAUGAGGGGAGCCAGGGAAGAGGCAGUGCAUGGAAAGGGCAGCACCACCCAAAAUGGAUGUUGACUGGUCCAUUCCAUGCUCCGUCUCGUCCCCGUCUCCUCACACUCCUAUUACU